GGGGUAGGGGAGCGUUCUAUCAGCAGAGAAGUCAAACUGUAAGGUUUGGUGGAGUGGAUAGAAGUGAGAAUGCCGGUAUGAGUAUGCGAAAAGGAAGGUGAGAAUCCUUCCCGCCGAAAAUCUAAGGUUUCCUGGGGAAGGCUCGUCCGCCCAGGGUAAGUCGGGACCUAAGCCGAGGCCAAAAGGCGUAGGUGAUGGACAACUGGUUGAGAUUCCAGUACCACCUAGAAAUGUUUGAGCAAUGGGGUGACACAGAAGGAUAGGUUAAGCCAACCGUUGGUAGAGUUGGCCCAAGCGAGAAGGAGGUAGGGUAGGCAAAUCCGCCCUGCGAAACUCUGAGACGUGAAGGGGAGCGAAAAUUAGUAGCGAAGUAACCGACUCCAAGCUGUCAAGAAAAGCCUCUAGUGAGUGACUAGGUGCCCGUACCGUAAACCGACACAGGUAGAUGGGGUGAGAAUCCUAAGGCGCGCGAGAAACCCCUCGUUAAGGAACUCGGCAAAAUAGCCCCGUAACUUCGGGAGAAGGGGCGCUCUUGGCAACAAGAGCCGCAGAGAAAUGGUCCAGGCGACUGUUUAACAAAAACACAGGUCCCUGCUAAUCCGAAAGGAGAUGUAUAGGGGCUGACACCUGCCCGGUGCUGGAAGGUUAAGAGGAGAGGUUAGGGGCAACCCGAAGCUUUGAAUUGAAGCCCCAGUAAACGGCGGCCGUAACUAUAACGGUCCUAAGGUAGCGAAAUUCCUUGUCAGGUAAGUUCUGACCCGCACGAAAGGUGUAACGAUCUGGACACUGUCUCGACGAGGGACUCGGCGAAAUUGUAAUACCCGUGAAGAUGCGGGUUACCUGCGACAGGACAGAAAGACCCCAUGGAGCUUUACUGUAGCUUGACAUUGGAUUUUGGUAUAAAAUGUACAGGAUAGGUGGGAGACUGAGAAGCUAGGGCGCCAGCCUUGGUGGAGUCGACGGUGGGAUACCACUCUUUUUGUACUGAAGUUCUAACUAGGUCCCCUGAAGCGGGGAUUAGGACAGUAUCAGGUGGGCAGUUUGACUGGGGCGGUCGCCUCCUAAAGAGUAACGGAGGCGCCCAAAGGUUCCCUCAGCGCGGUUGGAAAUCGCGCGAAGAGUGUAAAGGCAUAAGGGAGCUUGACUGCGAGACCAACAAGUCGAGCAGGGACGAAAGUCGGGCUUAGUGAUCCGGUGGUACCGAGUGGAAGGGCCAUCGCUCAACGGAUAAAAGCUACCCUGGGGAUAACAGGCUUAUCUCCCCCAAGAGUCCAUAUCGACGGGGAGGUUUGGCACCUCGAUGUCGGCUCAUCGCAUCCUGGGGCUGUAGUAGGUCCCAAGGGUUGGGCUGUUCGCCCAUUAAAGCGGUACGUGAGCUGGGUUCAGAACGUCGUGAGACAGUUCGGUCCCUAUCCGUCGCAGGCGCAGGAAAUUUGAGAGGAUCUGUCCCUAGUACGAGAGGACCGGGAUGGACGAAUCACUGGUGUACCAGUUGUCUCGCCAGAGGCACAGCUGGGUAGCUAUAUUCGGAGCGGAUAAGCGCUGAAAGCAUCUAAGCGCGAAACCGACCUCAAGAUGAGAUUUCCCACAGCAUAAGCUGGUAAGACCCCUGAAAGAUGAUCAGGUUGAUAGGCCAGGUGUGGAAGCACCGUGAGGUGUGGAGCUGACUGGUACUAAUCGGUCGAGGGCUUGACCU
rnacentral:rRNA from 1 species